GACGAACCGUGCGAACGUUGUUCGGAAUCACUGGGCUUAAAGGGCGCGUAGGCGGCAGUUCAAGUCCGGGGUGAAAUCCUCCAGCUCAACUGGAGAAGUGCCUUGGAUACUGGAUUGCUCGAGGGAGGUAGGGGUCGUAGGGAACUUCUGGUGGAGCGGUGAAAUGCGUUGAUAUCAGAAGGAACGCCGGUGGCGAAAGCGC
rnacentral:rRNA from 1 species